rnacentral:lncRNA from 1 species
GCCUUUCAUAACUGGAAGAACAACUAAAACUCCACUCUUCGUACACUUUUUUUUUUUUUAAGUUUGCCUAUAAAUAGAGACAAUGUUGCCACUCUUCCUCAUUCACCAAUUCCCUUAGUAGUAGAUUUCAGUAGCUGUUCACAUUUCCGCUACUAACAGUAGGAAAUUUCCUCUUCUUUCUUUCCGAUUUCUUCUCUCCACCUUGAUCUUCUCUUAACCUUGCAGUAGAUUAUCUUCUCCAUAUAUAUUUUAGAGAUAGAACUAUGUCACUUCACUCUUUCUCUUUUUGUUUGUUUUAGCUUCAACGCCGGAAUGUCGUCGGCGACGAACUUACAAUGCCUUGCUUUUAUUUGAUGUUCAGCUCUUUUCCGGCGAAGUUACUACCGUAACGGAGUAGAGGUUCGAGCUCGGAGCUGCUACGGUGUUGGUGAUGGAAAGGCGUAAGCUUUGGGUCGGCGAAGGAACAAUGUCAGCAGCGACGUGACCGUGCUUCAUCAAGGUAAAACUCCUUUGUAGUUUCUCUUAUAUUGUUUUCGAGCUUUUAAAUUGUGUAUAGCGUGCUCCUUUCAACUGCUUCGCAUGCCUUCAUUUUGUCUUCGCAUUGCCCAUUUGAGCUGCACUUUGGAGUAGCUGCCUCAAUCUCUUUCGUGUAUCCCUUCUUUUGCUGAGUAUAUUUAGUUCCUAAAUUUUAGUUCUAAAUUGCCCAGACGCCGAUUUUAGCUAGCUCCAUUUCUUGUAUUGUUCUUCCCAAACUCAGUGGCUACUUUCUUAACUCCACAGCUAUUGUCCUCUACGAGAAAAGCGCAGAAUCUGGCGGAUACAACAAAGCACAAGCUCGUGGUUUGGGUGACUAACAUGGUGGAGUUAGUUGCUUUGAUCGCAUCGAGCGUGGAGAGAAGCGGCAGUGAGAGCGGAGACCGCUGCUACUAAUGGCGGGAGAUGGAGACGGCUUCUUGCCGGAUUUCAGGAACCACUAGGCACGAGGGUGCAGCGGUUGCUGUGUUGGAGGAAAGCAAAAGUGCAGACUCUUUUUUCAUUUUUACAUGGCUUCUUCGCUGGAUUGAUUUCGGGGCUCUUUUUAUAAGCGGAAGGUCGUUGAGAGAAGCAGCGGCGGCUUGCGGCAAUCGCCUGCUUCCUCGUAGUGGGCUGCAGCAACCAGAACCGGCUUGGAGCGCGGAAGAAUGGAGUGGGUCAGCUUGUUAGAUCUUGGAGAGCUUCUUGCGUCUUCAGACCAUGCCGGAGGGAGGUAGUUGCUUUGCUGCAGCAGCGUCGAGCGUGGAGAGAAGGCAGCGGCUUCUUACUGAUGAUGGUGGUGAGCGUCUGUUCGCAGACCUCGCUUAUCCAGACGCGGACGUGGGGUUGAACGGCGGUGUUAGUGGCUCCUUAUUCU